UUCUAUUUGCAUUUCCUAGAAUGCAGUUGGAGUAAGCAAACCAGGCUACUGAAAGACCCCUGGAGCAGGGAGACCCUCACUCAAGUCUCGGGAUGAUGCGACCCCCCAAGAACUCACGUGAGACC
rnacentral:pre_miRNA from 14 species